GCACCACAUAAAUGAACAUAAACACGCACACCCCAAAAGAAAGCAAUCUUGGUUACCUAGAGCAUUGAUUGCUCUAGCAUGUGGAAAGAAAAUAGGAACAUAAAGCAUCCUUAUCUAAAAAUGUGGUAUGAUGAGAGGAAGGUUUCGUUCAACUUUCUUAGUUGGUGGGAAUAAGAAUAAAAAUAAAGAUUUUCAGCUACCCUAUAAGUAUGACAAAUAGUUUUCAAUUAAAAAUGUUAUGUCAACUAAGUCAAUACAACUCAACUUAAUUAAGCCUUUA
rnacentral:misc_RNA from 1 species